rnacentral:rRNA from 1 species
GACGAACGCUGGCGGCGUGCUUAACACAUGCAAGUCGAACGGAAAGGCCCUGCUUUUGUGGGGUGCUCGAGUGGCGAACGGGUGAGUAACACGUGAGUAACCUGCCCUUGACUUUGGGAUAACUUCAGGAAACUGGGGCUAAUACCGGAUAGGAGCUCCUGCUGCAUGGUGGGGGUUGGAAAGUUUCGGCGGUUGGGGAUGGACUCGCGGCUUAUCAGCUUGUUGGUGGGGUAGUGGCUUACCAAGGCUUUGACGGGUAGCCGGCCUGAGAGGGUGACCGGCCACAUUGGGACGGCGAUACGGCCCAGACUCGUACGGGAGGCAGCAGUGGGGAAUAUUGCACAAUGGGCGGAAGCCUGAUGCAGCAACGCCGCGUGCGGGAUGACGGCCUUCGGGUUGUAAACCGCUUUCGCCUGUGACGAAGCGUGAGCGACGGUAAUGGGUAAAGAAGCACCGGCUAACUACGUG